AACGAACGCUGGCGGCAUGCCUAACACAUGCAAGUCGAACGAGACCUUCGGGUCUAGUGGCGCACGGGUGCGUAACGCGUGGGAAUCUGCCCUUGGGUUCGGAAUAACAGUUGGAAACGACUGCUAAUACCGGAUGAUGACGUAAGUCCAAAGAUUUAUCGCCCAAGGAUGAGCCCGCGUAGGAUUAGCUAGUUGGUGAGGUAAAGGCUCACCAAGGCGACGAUCCUUAGCUGGUCUGAGAGGAUGAUCAGCCACACUGGGACUGAGACACGGCCCAGACUCCUACGGGAGGCAGCAGUGGGGAAUAUUGGACAAUGGGCGAAAGCCUGAUCCAGCAAUGCCGCGUGAGUGAUGAAGGCAUUAGGGUUGUAAAGCUCUUUUACCCGGGAUGAUAAUGACAGUACCGGGAGAAUAAGCACCGGCUAACUCCGUG
rnacentral:rRNA from 1 species